CAGUAGCCGCGGUAAUACGAAGGGUGCAAGCGUUACUCGGAAUUACUGGGCGUAAAGGGUGCGUAGGUGGCUUGGUAAGUUGAAGGUGAAAUCUCGGGGCUUAACCCCGAAACUGCCUUCAAUACUGCUAGGCUCGAGGACUGUAGAGGAGAAUGGAAUUCACGGUGUAGCAGUGAAAUGCGUAGAUAUCGUGAGGAAGACCAGUGGCGAAGGCGAUUCUCUGGGCAGUUCCUGACACUGAGGCACGAAGGCCAGGGGAGCAAACGGGAUUAGAUACCCCCGUAGUCCCUGUCUCUUAUAC
rnacentral:rRNA from 1 species